AGAAUCAACGCUGGCGGCGUGCCUAACACAUGCAAGUCGAACGAGAAAGUGGAGCAAUCCAUGAGUAAAGUGGCGCACGGGUGAGUAACACGUGACUAACCUACCCUUGAGUGGGGAAUAACUUCGGGAAACCGAGGCUAAUACCGCAUAACACCUACGGGUCAAAGGAGCAAUUCGCUUAAGGGGGGGUCGCGGCAGAUUAGUUAGUUGGUAGGGUAAUGGCCCACCAAGGCGAAGAUCGGUAUCCGGCCUGAGAGGGCGCACGGACACACUGGAACUGAAACACGGUCCAGACUCCUACGGGAGGCAGCAGUGGGGAAUUUUGCGCAAUGGGGGAAACCCUGACGCAGCAACGCCGCGUGGAGGAUGAAGUCCCUUGGGACGUAAACUCCUUUCGACCAAGACGAUAAUGACGGUACUGGUGGAAGAAGCACCGGCUAACUCUGUGCCAGCAGCCGC
rnacentral:rRNA from 1 species